rnacentral:rRNA from 1 species
UACAGAGGGUGCGAGCGUUAAUCGGAAUUACUGGGCGUAAAGCGUGCGUAGACGGUUUCGUAAGUCGGGUGUGAAAUCCCCGGGCUCAACCUGGGAAUUGCAUUCGAAACUGCGAGGCUAGGGUACGGAAGAGGGAAGCGGAAUUCCUGGUGUAGCGGUGAAAUGCGCAGAUAUCAGGAGGAACACCGGUGGCGAAGGCGGGUCUCUGGGCCGAUACUGACGCUGAGGAGCGAAAGCGUGGGGAGCGAACAGG